UCGAGAAUAUUCGACAAUGGGCGAAAGCCUGAUCGAGCGACGCCGCGUGCAGGAUGAAGGCCCUCGGGUUGUAAACUGCGGUAGUAGGGGAGGAACGCAAGUGACUGUACCCUAGGGAAAGUGGUUGGUAACUACGUGCCAGCACCAGCGGUAAUACGUAGACCACAAGCGUUAUCCGGAUUUAUUGGGCGUAAAGAGCAUGUAGGAGGUCCGGUGCGUCUCUGGUUAAAGCCCACCGCCUAACGGUGGAAGUGCCAGAGAUACGAUCGGACUGGAGGAUGUGAGAGGUGCAUGGAACUCACGGUGUAGGGGUGAAAUCCGUUGAUAUCGUGGGGAACACCAAAGGCGAAGGCAGCGCACUGGCCAAAAUCUGACGCUCACACACGAAAGCUAGGGUAGCGAAGAGGAUUAGAUACCCAAGUAGUCCCUGAGCGGGCUGGCAAGGCGCAU
rnacentral:rRNA from 1 species